UUUUAAAGAAGAUCGCAUGUUUGUUCAUCAUGGAGGAAAGGAAGUUCUUUCUGCUGUGGAAAUGCCAUCCUAUGCAGUGAAGCGUUGGCCAGUCUGGUGAUGGAAAUAGAGAAUGGAUAUAUUGGGUGAAUGGAACAGACAGAGUCUCUGCUCUUGUGAAACUUACAUUCCAGCAAGGGUGUGGAAGGGAUGGAAUAUGAACAAGUAAACAGAGUCAUUUGAAAUGAAAAUCACUUCCAAAUAUCGAGCGGAAUGAGAAACCAAGUAGUCUCCACCUCUACUGAAGCUAGAAGCCAUCUGUGAUGCCUAACCAUAAUAUGUUAAAAUGGAAAGCAGAUAGAGAAGUUGAUGGAGAAGAGAGAACCAAGUUAGAAUGAAGAUGAGGUGCUGCAGUAAAAAUAUGUGGAUUAAGUGAAAGCCUUUGUGCCCGAACAGUGGGCUCCCACCUGCCAUGCACUUUCUUUGCCUAGCUCCCAGAAUGCACCAUUGGGCUGAUAACCCAUAAGUUGGAGGUGAAGAGGUGGACAAUCCCUUUCUGGAGAACCUGGAAUCAGAGAAAAUACUAAGGAACACACUAAAAAGCUGUUUUUCCAUCUGAUUACCCAUCAGUCAACAAGGUCUCUCAGGUAAAUGGAACCUCCAGUCAAUUAUUUUGAGGGUGUUGCAUUCCUAAGUAUAAACUGGCUGCAAAGGAUUCACCGAUUUUAAAAGAAAACCUCCACUAAGAAAGACAGAGACCAAACAAGAAAUCAGAAGUGAAGAAAUUUUGAAAUAGAGAUAAUGCAAGGAAUAAGAGAAAAUGCCACAAUAUUAUAAUUAAUAUUCACAGAGAGAUGAAAAUGUCUUGCAUGCAUGGAGCAAGAGCAGGUUACUAUUGCUUUUAAGUUUCAAUCAAAGAACAAACAAGAAAGAACUCUAUGAACUCAAAGUAGGGUUGAAGAAAUAAUAAAUGAAAUUUAAGGAUUAGAGGUAUGGUUGAAGAAAUUACCUCAGUAAAUAAACAAAAAGACUAAAAGAUAGAAAGAAAAUAUUUUAAAAGUUAUAAGAUCUGGCUGUGAAGUCUGAUGUCUGACUAGCCAACCUUCUAGAAAGAAAGAAUAGGGAAAACAUAAAAUGGAGGAAUGAAAUUUAUCCGGAAAUAACAUAAGGACGAAUUCCAGAACUGAAGGACAAGAGUUUUCUCAUGUGGGUUGAGAAGACCCACUCAGAGUUGAGCACAGUGAAUUUUAAGAGGCUCCCCUAAGGCUUGUCAGCAUGGUAUUCCAGAACACCAAAGACAGAGGACCCAAAAACUUUUUGAGAGAAAACAAGACAUCAUGUCACACAGAAAGGACUGGGAGGAAUGACAGAAUUGGAUUGUUAACACUGGGAGAGAGAAGCUACAGUCUUUAACACACUGAGUGAUGAUGCAUUUACAACCUAGAAUUUUAUAUCCAGCCAAAAUAUCAAGUGUUGGGGUAGAAUCAAGACGUCUCACAGACAGAACACUUACCUCCCAGGGACCCUUCCCCAGGAAGUGAUUAGAGGGUGUGCUUCAUCAAAGAAGGAAAUUCUGGAUCCAGGAAACAAAUCUAACACUUGAAAAAAGCAAAGAGAAUUCCAGGAUAAGGUAAUAUUAACAGCCGUACAUCAGUCCUAAAGGGCAAGUGGUCCAGAGGGGAGCAGGGGGACAGAGGGGUCCAGGAGGAGGGUCUCCAGGAGAAAAAAAUUAAACCAACAGAUGAUCUGAUAUAUUCACACAUGGAUGAUUCUAUUAAGAAGCUAUUGGAGGAAAUGGGAAGAAAUUUAAAUAGAAAUUUUUUAAAAAACUAAGAAAAUGAAAGAGUGAAACAGACGUUCUAAGAAAAGAUACAUUUUCCAAAAGAGAAGCGUAAUUAUGACACUCUGCUAGACUUAACAGUGAAGGAUAUUGGUAUUGUCAAAAUAAUGAAGACAUUGGGGGUCAGUCCUGUGGCUUAGUGGUUGGAUUCGCACACUCUGCUUAAGUGGCUUGGGGUUUGACGGUUCGGAUCCUGGUGCAGACCUAUAUACCACUCACUGAGCCACGCUGUGGCAGUGGCCCACAUACAAAAAAUAGGCAAAGAUUGGCACAGAUGUUAGCUCAGCGACAGUCUUCCUCACACAGACACACACAAAAUAAUAACAGUAAUAAUAAUGAAAACAUUGGAUACUGCUUUACCUGGGAAAUUUUAUAUGAUCCUGUUGAGAAGAUCUGAGGGAGAGAGGGCAGGGCAGGGGCAUGUGUGUGUUUGAGAGAAAGAAAGCCAAAUCCUUUUUUACCAAAGUAGAAAGGCAGUAUAAAAAGCCUAAAAUUAAUGAAUCAAGAGAUAGCAGUAUCAUCAUAUUAUCUGUUAGAAAUGCGGAGGUUAACACCUGAAGAAACCCCCAAAAGAAUUAAAAGUGAUGCUUCUGGAGAGGUGGAAUGGGGUAAAUAGCAAAAAAUGUUUUCAUUAUAGACCUUUUACCAUUAUUUGACUAUUUCAAUUACGUGCCUAUAUUACUUUGAUAAACUUAUACUAGGCUUAAAGUAAGAGAAAUAACAGCAUAGGUAUUUCAAAAUAGUGUAGAAACUUCUCAUUGUCCUCAACCAUCCCUAUCUCUUUCUUCUUCUGAAAGAGAGCCCCAGUUUUUCACUGGACAUUUGUCCACCUAGAAUAAAGUCCCUUGCAGCUAAAUAUGGCCAUGUGACUAAAUUCUGGCCAACCGAUUGCAAGCAGAAGUAGUAUAUCCAAUUUCUGAGAUGUGUCCUUAAAGGAAGUGGCCCUGUUUUUGGUACCUCCUACUUCCUGCUGGAGCUCCAGGAGCCAUGAUGGUUUUGGAAUGGGCUACACAGGGCAGAGGAACAACGUAGAGGGGGCCUGGGUUUUUAUUACUGUGCCAUGCCCUGGAUUGAUGACUUCCAGACUCCUGGAAAUGCUGUAGACAUUCGUUGUAUUUUUUUAAAAACCAUUGUUACUUUGGGGCUGUUGAAUACAGACAAAUUUAAACCCAACUAAUGCACUGGGGCCUGUCAAAAGCCAUAGCAGAGGUGUGAGAAUAACUGGAUUUGGGGAACGCUGACCUGGAGUGCAGGAGUGAGAAGACAGGAGAGGGACAGGAAGGCAGCAGGGCAGAGCCCUUUCUUGGGGAGCAAGAGGAGUCAUUUAAGCGGAAGGCUGGUGCUUUAUAAUCUGGGAAGCCUCAUUCAAGAAGGUAAGGUGGCAUUCAAGGGAGGAACUGCUCAUUAAGGGUCCGUCAGUGUGACUCACCCUCACGGUGCUUUAGGGGCUCAGUCCUGACCCGGAAGUUACCUGCGGUCUCAAAGGAUUCCUGCUGGGUACCCAUAUGACUCUCCUAACGAUGGUGGCCACUGACUGAGCCAGGCAUGCUGCAUCCUCUCACUGCAUCCUCAGACAACCAGCCAUAUGAUGUUAGCACGUCUAUUAACAUUCCUAUUUCACAGAAGAGGAAACUAAGAUUCCAAGAGGUCGUGCAAGUCCCCAAGGUCAUACAGGGAGAAUGACUGUCUGGCUGAGCUUCAAGACCCGAGGCAGACGGUAAAGUGCUGAAUCUGAGCUUCGAACAAAGGAAGAAGAGAAAAUCCUAGCUUGAUGGAGAAGCAAGUGUUUGAGCUGGGUCCUAAACGGUCUGAAAGGUGAAGUUGAAAAUAAGAAGAAUUCUAAGUCUUUGGAACAGUGUAAACAAAAGGAUGGAGCCUGGAAAACACCAGGCUGGCUUGGGAAACUGGGAGUGAAUGAAUCUAGCUGGAGGAGAGAGUGUGGUGACGUCCUGGGGGAUGAGGCUGGAAAUGCAGGGUGGGUACCAGGUUGCAGCAGCCUCGAGGGCAGGUUAGAGGUAUAUUUUGGGUGAGUGUCAGGGAAGGUUUGUCUGUCUGCUUGAUUCCUUUUGUUUUUUAUUAAACCCAUCAGAUGCCUGCAGAAUAUUUAGAUGGAAUGUGGAUGCUCCUCCAUGAGCAUGUAUGAAGGCCACCCGUCCAGUGGCCUGCUUGGCCCCAUCCCAUCAUGGCCCCAUUCUGGCCCUGGUGGCAGGAUGACCAAGGGGGCCGCUGGGAUGUUUCCACUCCUGCCUUAGAGAAUCCAUCCCUCUAGGAAAUGCUUCCCGGCAGAUUAAUGCUCAGAUGGUGCAAGGACUCACCAAAUACGUAUAUAUUAUAAAAAUGUUUUCAUGAAUUCAUCACCAUUUUAUUUGUCAUGAAAUUUUCCCUCCUGUCCAUUUCCUGGCGGGUAGGACAAACAGUGUGAGAACUGGAACCAGGUUCUGGGAGGGGCUUUUAUUGCCCCGAAAUCGGGAAAGGGUGCGUCUGGUCCCUACAUUACCUCAGGCUGUGCAGCCGCGACCCAUCUCUGGAGCAAUUUUACUGAAGCCUCUUCCCUCUUGGUUGCCAGCUUCCAUCUGGGCAACGGCAGGUGGUUGGACAGAAGCUUUAAUUGCACUUAAAGAAUUAAAAGAUGAGCUAGGCAGAAAACGAUGGAACUGGCCCAGGGAGAGGUCCGUGCUGGUGCUGGGGGCAGGGGAGUGAAGCCUCUGAUUGUGUCUACACCAGACUGGCUGCCUGGUGCGCUGCAGACAGGGGAGCCUCAGAUGGGGCAUGCUGAGAAUGAGAAUCCCCCUGUGGCCCUUGGGGUGCCCCAAUCCUUCAACAGUCCCUUUUCUUCAGUAUCCAGAUAAAAAGGCUUGAGCAUCCACCACUGAGAAAAGGCCGGGCUCUCACCGAGAGGUCUGAGGACUCCUGACGAUGGCGCCCUGUUUCUCUCACUCUGAAGUCACGUGCCUCGCUGGAGCCUCUCUCGGCCAUCUGCUGUUGCGUCCUUCGUCCUUCUCCCGGCUCAGCACUGUUCCCGUCACCCUCCAAAGUGCCAUCACCCCAUCCGCCGUGAGAAGCAAACCCUACUGCACGUUUCAGAAUAGCAGGAGGCAGGCCCACUCUUAACAUUUGGACGUUCUGGGACACCAAUGGAGGCCCACUUACCGGAAGUCUAAGUAUUUAAAAGUUUUAAAUAAAAAAAUAUUGAAAACAUUCUAUCCAUCUACCUUGACAAAUGGAACUUUGCAACCAUCUGAAGGCCCGCUUGGAAUUUAGAAUUCUCGGCUCCUCAGAGUUAGUCCUGCAGCUUGCUCCCUGGGAGGGGCCUCUUGCUCACGUGUGUGGACCCACGCACCCGGUCUCUGUCCACACUCCCCACACCUAGCCUGGGCAUGUGCACACUGUGGUACAGUUAACCCUUGGAGAGCAGUUCUGAGUGACCCUGGGACUUGGCUUGGGUGACCUGGAUGGAAAGACUCCACUAUGGGAGUCAACUCUAGGCCAGUGGUCAGCAAAUGAUGGCCUGUGGGCAAUUCCAGACCGUGGCCUAUUUCUGUAUGGCCUGCCAAGCCAAGGACAGUUUUUAAAUGACUGAAAAAUCACAAAAGAAUAGUAUUUUGUGACUUGUGAAAAUGCUGUGAGACUCAGAUUUUGGUGUCCAUCACUAAAGUCUUAUUGGAAUCCAGCUCUGCUCAUUCCUUUCCAUGUCGUCCUCAGCUGCCUUGGCGCCUCUGCGGUGGGCUCCGAAUCUGCAGCGGAGACUGGCUGUUUGGCGAAGGCUCAAAGACUCACUGACUGGCCUUUGCAGAGACACAGUUUGCGUCACUUGCGGUCCUUCACUAUGCAGCAUCGUUGAUUCUCUCUAGAGCAGCCCAGGCAGCCUCACCGUUAAAAUUUUUAAGAACUGUGGUAAAAUAAACAUAACCAAAUUUACCAUCUUAGCCACUUUUUAGGUCUACAGUUCAGUGACAAUAAGUACAUUCGCAUUGUUGUGCAGCCACCACACCACCCAUCUCUGUAACUUUUCCAUCUCCCCAAAAGGAAACUCUGUCCCCAUUAAACACUGACUCUCCCUUCCCUCUCCCCCUCAGGCCCUGGAAACCACCGUUCUGCUUUCUGUCUCUAUGAAUUUCGCUGCUCUAGGAGCCUCAUCUAUGUGCUAUCACACAGUAUUUGUCCUUCCGUGACUGGCUUUUUUCACUCACAUAGUGUCCUCCAGUUUCAUCCAUGCCACAGCAUGUGGCAGCAUUUCCUUCCUUUCUAAGGCUGAAUAAUAUUCCAUUGUUUGUGUAUACCACGUUUUGUUUAUCUGCUCAUCCAUAGGCACUGGGCUGCUUUCAACUUUCGGCCAUCAUGAAUAACGCUGCUAUGAACGUGGGUGUAUAAAUGCCUUCUCGGGACCCUGUUUUCAGUUGUUUGGGGUACAUACCCAGAAGUAGAACUACUGGAUCAUAUGGUAAUUCUACGUUUAAUUCUUAAGGAACCGCUACACAGUUUUCCAAAGUGAUAGGACCAUUUAACAUUUCACACCCCCACCAACAACAGGCAGGCUUACUUUCUGAAACCAAAAAAGCUCAUGGAGGUAUUUCAGGACAAAAGUGCUACCCAUCUUUUAAAAAAAAUCUAAUCUCUUUAAAGCAGUAGUUUUUGACCCUGAGAAUCAUCUAGGGAGCUUUUAAAAAAUUACUAAUGUGUGUGUGUGUGUGUGUGUAUGUGUGUGUUGGGGGAAAGGGCACUUCAGACUAAUGAAACCAGAAUCCCUGGGGUAGAGUCUGGCACAGGUAUUCUUUCCAUCACCCAAGUCUUUCCCCAGAGCAGCCUGGGUCAAGAGCCACUGCCCUUGGACAACCAGCUUGCCCUGCAGCCAGCUUUUAAAAUAACUCAUCUUUCCUCUUGCUUCAUGUGCCUUUCUGAGAACCCAGCUCCAGGAAGCAAUAGACAUGUCCCUGGACUCAUGAGUGGUGUUGGGCAUGGAGGUGGUGACACAUGGCUUCCUGGUGUGAUAGCGGGUGUGUUGGAGACAGACGCCAUCUGGAGUAGCGGGGGUGAUGGCUGGGAUUGGGCUGGCCACACCCUGUCCCUUCAGUACCUUCCCCUUUUCAGGGACAUCUCUAGGGCCACUCUAUCCCAGCCUCCCUCUGGGGGCAUACCUCCCUGCCCCCACCACACACACACACACACACUAAGCUGGUGAGGCUGGAGUCAUCCUCUCCAUCCCUAACCAGUCCCAGGUUCUGAAUAUUUCUCUCUCAAGUAGUAUUAAAAUAAACAACAGCGUUAGAGUCAGAUAAGAGACAGGCAGAAAAGACUUAUUUUUACACUUUUCCCCUUGAAUCCAAAUAGCCAUUUUAUUCUGCAAUGGUAAUUUCAGGAGCACCGUUCAGCUUGGUUAUCUUCUGAGAGAGGCACAGACGUCAAGAGAGAUUUUAAACAGUGCUUUGGUGAAAUAUAUUGAGGAAAGCCCACAGUAUGUGCUUAAAUGAUCUAGAAGGAUGAAGACUGGGCAGGAUUUUUUUUUCUUCUAAGCAUGGCCCUUGUAGGUUUAAUUGUAAAGUAUAAUUACUUCAAGACAUCAUAAUUUGUUGUGUACAGUAUAAAUCAGCAGA